GAUGAACGCUGGCGGCGUGCCUAACACAUGCAAGUCGAACGGAGAUUACGGACGGAAGUUUUCGGAUGGAAGACUGUAAUUCUUAGUGGCGGACGGGUGAGUAACGCGUGGGCAACCUGCCCUAUACAGGGGGAUAGCAGCUGGAAACGGCUGGUAAGACCGCAUAAGUCGGCGAGACCGCAUGGUUUUGCCGGGAAAUGAGCAAUCAGGUAUAGGAUGGGGCCGCGUCCGAUUAGCCCGUUGGCAGGGUAAAAGCCUACCAAAGCAACGAUCGGUAGCCGGACUGAGAGGUCGGACGGCCACAUUGGGACUGAGACACGGCCCAAACUCCUGCGGGAGGCAGCAGUGGGGGAUAUUGCACAAUGGAGGAAACUCUGAUGCAGCGACGCCGCGUGAGUGAAGAAGUAUUGCGGUAUGUAAAGCUCUAUCAGCAGGGAAGAUGAUGACGGUACCUGACGAAGAAGCCCCGGCUAACUACGUG
rnacentral:rRNA from 1 species